UCCUAAACCACUUAACCGAUUAUAAUAAUAUUCGCACACCAUGUGCAGUUCGAUCCAACUUGAGGGAUAGUUUACAUCUCAAGUUAUGGUCGCAAUUUCUUCUAACCACGCGGACGAAGUCGCGGGCAACAGCUAGUAUUUUAAUAUAGUUCUAUUGUUUUACAAAUUACUCGGCACCAACCCGUCUAUACGGUUAUUGGAUUUUGAGUUUUUCUUACCUGGUUUUAAAAUGGUUACAUUCUAAAACUAGUUUGUUGUACCAUCUCAAGUCUUAAGCCAAGUACUUAUGUUACCAUAACUAUCGUGGAUAGAGAAGUGUGGCAGGAUUUCAUUUGCUGGAUGCCUUUGCAUAGGAGUGGGUCACAGCAGACCUUAUAAAAAAAAACAUCAUGCCGGUUUUUAUGACUUCACAUUAUACCUAAAAGAAGUUUUUUUUUGUCAAGAUUGGAUUAAUAUGCAAAAAAGUCUGCUGACGAUGCAGUUUUACUGAAGAACUUUGAGCGACGCAAUCUAUCUUGUCAUCUCAGCGAUAAGAGAAAGAUCUAGAAAUCCCUUCAGCUAUAAAUACAGUCAUAAGACAUUAAUAUAACUAGAUACGGAAAAUACGAAAACGUCUAAUCAUCGUAAUAAUAUACUGCCUUUAAUUUCUGUCAUCAAGUCAAGUCAGCGAAAGUUAUCAUUAAUGAGUCAAUCUGUAAUGACUGCGUGAUUAUCUACGUGACGUGAAUCAAGCGUAAUGUUACGUGGUAGGCAGUUACCGUAUAAGGAAAAGUUUAGUGAAGUUAUCGCGAUGGUUCAGCGGUACGUUCUGCGGGUUUCGCUGCGUGUCUCGGAAUCGAGGUGAACAUGCAACAUUCACGGAUGUUAAUAUAAUCUCGGACGUAGUAUUUUUCCAAUGAAACCAGAUACAAAGAAAAAAAAUGAUUUUAUAAUUUUAUUUACACACGAAAAUAGAUAAGCGGACACAAUGAUGAUAAAUACUGCAAAGAAAUAAAACAAUUUUAAAACA